rnacentral:tRNA from 1 species
GGCCGAGCUGGUCGACCCGGCGGGCGAGGCCGGCGUGCGAGAAGCCGGACUCCUCGAUGAGCGCGGCGAGUUGCGGGUUCUGGGCGCGCCCGGCCGC